rnacentral:rRNA from 1 species
UUAGCUGGUCUGAGAGGAUGGCCAGCCACACUGGAACUGAGACACGGUCCAGACUCCUACGGGAGGCAGCAGUGGGGAAUAUUGGACAAUGGGGGAAACCCUGAUCCAGCAAUGCCGCGUGUGUGAAGAAGGCCUGAGGGUUGUAAAGCACUUUCAGUGGGGAGGAGGGUUGACAGGUUAAGAGCUAGUUAACUGGACGUUACCCACAGAAGAAGCACCGGCUAACUCCGUGCCAGCAGCCGCGGUAAUACGGAGGGUGCGAGCGUUAAUCGGAAUUACUGGGCGUAAAGGGUGCGUAGGUGGUUUAUUAAGUUAUCUGUGAAAUCCCUGGGCUUAACCUGGGCAGGUCAGAUAAGACUGGUAGACUCGAGUAUGG